GGAAAUAGAGAAAGGGGUUAGGAAGGAGCCGGCCGCCGCCCUCAAGGAUCCUACAGGCUUUAUGGGACCAGGAGCAUCUAGCCAGGUAGCCCUCACCCUAGUCAAGCCGAGGGUUCAUCAAGAUAAUGAAGUGUUUUCCUGAAUGUGGGACUAGAAGCUACCAACUGCCCGAGGGUGAUUGAAAGAGAGACGUCCGGAAAUGAGGGGAGAAGGGGGGCUCCCCCGGAAUGGCCCCAGGGGGACCCCGGUUCCCUCGCGCGGGAGAGGGGCGUGAGCUCCGGGGAGCCCACCGCCCGGGCUGCUACUGACCUGGUCUCCGCCUCACCGGCCUCUUGCGGCCGCUGCAGAAGCGCACUUUGCUGAACACCCCGAGGACGUGCCUCUCGCACAGGGAGCGCCCGUCUUUGCUGGGGCUGGAGCGGCGCUUGGAGGCCGACACCCGGUCGCUGUUGGACUCCCUCGCCUGCCGCUUCUGGCGGAUCAAGGAGCUGGCUAUCGCCGCAGCCAUAGCUGCUCGGCGCGGCCCCAGGCCCCGGCUCCCCUGCGCGCUCGGGUCCGCGCUCCGCCGGGGCGAGGGCAGGACCUCGGCGGCCUGGAGGGCCGGGGCAGGCGCGGGGAGGCAGUGCUAAUGUUUGAGGAGCCUGCGGUGCCGAAAACCCGACGCCCACAAGAAAACAAGCCACCAACCGCCAGCCAGAGAGAAGGAGAGGAAGGCAGCAAUUUAACUCCCUGCGGCCCGCAGUUCUGGAGAUUAGGAGGUCCGUCCCGGCUGGGUGAGGUCUACGGAAUGCAUCGCGCCGGCUGCGGUUCUCCAGGGCCCGGCCGCCGGAGUUCUGCAAUUCCGAGAGGCGCGAAGUGGGAGCGGCGAGCCGGAGUCCGGGUUUAUGCAAAGAACAUAGUUUGAUGCAGAAGGAAACCAAUGUGGUGGCACAAGAUAGAAGAGGGUGAUGGGGCAGGAGAUGAAAAAGCAGACAACACUUGUUUGAAGUUCUCCUCUUGGUCUUGACAUGCCAGCAUCAAGUCAGGCGUUUAAGGAACAAAAUAAAAACAACAAGUGGGAGCUUUCUGAGAGUGACACUAUUCCUGUCUUUAGAUCUCUAUUAAAAGAAUGUGGUGUUUUCCAUUCGAUUAGACAACAAAAACUACUCUUCUUCUUGCACCUCUGAAGAUGUUGUGAGAGUGCUCCUUUGGCUGCUGAGCCCUGGAAGUCCUCCUCAGCAUCCUUUACUUUAUUUACUACAUUUCCUCAAUGAGAAGAAGAGGGCUUCACAUUUGGUAAACUGACCUUGAAGAGAUCACUCAAUAUUGGAAGGGAAAGGACCCGAGUGUCCCAAAUCUUCUGCAGCUUGUACUUCUCUCUGGGCUACAGAGCUAAGAAAGAAAAAGGAGAAUCACAACUCCGGAAAACUCAAAACCAAUUUGAGAAAACUUAGUAUAAACUGAGAAAAAUUCUUACAAAAUGAUUUCUCAACUCAAUGUUCCAAAACACAGGAAGGAAGAUGGAAUGACAGUAGAAGGUGGAUCGACAGUUGUCAUAUUUGUGAUGUCAGAGAUUUGAAAAGCCAAUCAUCUUGUUGCCUGAUGUGCAAUUUUUAACUUAUUAUACACACGGUAAUUGGAAAGUAUAAGCACGUGUCCCACAGAGUGACAUUUUUGAGAAGAAAAUUGCGUGACCAUAGAAAGGUCAUUUAACCUCUAUCAGUUUACUCCUCUAUAAAAUGAGAAAUUUUAAAAAGAGUAACAGAUGAUCUUUACAUUUUGAAGCCUCCAAUGGAAGGUUACUUUUGGAAGGGUCUUGGAACCAGGAGUGACAUUCAAUUUUAGGGAUUCUAAACAACAACAAAAAAUAAUAUAUAAUCUAAACUGCCCAAAUAUUUUCAACGUGACCACUUACUUGAAAAAGAAAGGACACUAGUAACUGUAGCAAAGACUGUCAUGAGAAUAAAUGACCCCAAUUUCAACGUUACUCUCUAAAGCAGCUAAAUUCUCCCAAUUUUCGUUUAGACUUGAUCCUCUAUUGCUGAGUGGGUGGAGGUGGAGGAGGAAUGAGAAAUGAUGAAGUGCUCUGUUACUCGUGAGGAUGGCACAAAACAAAAUAAAGCUAUUCCCAUCUAGUUGAA